AAUCUCUCCACUUUCUUGUCUUGCUGUGUGUAUGUUUCGAAAAACUUGAGUCCUAUGUGAUAGCUGGGUUUAAGAAGCGCAAGGUUCAAACAAAAGUCUUUGAAGUCCAGCAUGCGAAGACACACUCUGAGUCAUAACUCCCCAUCACAACU